UAUGUUGCAAGUACAGAUGUGUCAAGUUAGAUGCAAAAUGUAGAUUCUUUAUCUUUGAUAUAUUAUUAUUUUGAAGAUACAGAAUUCUUAAACUUGUAUAAGCGCCAAUGUUGCCCUAAUAAAACACAACACUUUCUUUCGACAAUAUCUGUUGUCAAUUUCACCAUGUUUGCAAGAGAAAUAUGAAUUAUGAGAGUAUAACAAAUGGCUAAAGAUUAUCGCCGAGUUUUAUUGAUUAAACAUAAGACAUAACGGUAAUACGAAAGGAUUGGAUAAAUUAAGUCUUAUGCUGCAACUUUAUGUGAAAAGUAAUAAAAGAGAAAUUUAUUCAUUAUAUACAUCUUAAUAUGUUACAAUUCCAUUUAACAGAUAUUAUAGGUUAAUUUCUUCCAGCUGAUAUGUGCAAUGUGUAAAAAA